rnacentral:rRNA from 1 species
AUUGAACGCUGGCGGCAGGCCUAACACAUGCAAGUCGAACGAGUGGCGGACGGGUGAGUAAUGCUUGGGAAUCUAGCUUAUGGAGUGGGAUAACUACGGGAAACCUUAGCUAAUACCGCGUACCAUAGGAUGAGCCCAAGUGGGAUUAGGUAGUUGGUGAGGUAAAGGCUCACCAAGCCGACGAUCUCAAGCUGGUCUGAGAGGAUGACCAGCCACACUGGGACUGAGACACGGCCCAGACUCCUACGGGAGGCAGCAGUGGGGAAUAUUGCGCAAUGGAGGCAAGCUGACGCAGCCAUGCCGCGUGAAUGAAGAAGGCCUUCGGGUUGUAAAGUUCUUUCGGUAGAGAAGCGUUAACUACAGAAGAAGCACCGGCUAACUACGUGCCAGCAGCCGCGGUAAUUC